CCUACGGGUGGCAGCAGUGAGGAAUAUUGGUCAAUGGACGAGAGUCUGAACCAGCCAAGUAGCGUGAAGGAUGACUGCCCUAUGGGUUGUAAACUUCUUUUAUAUGGGAAUAAAAUGUUCCACGUGUGGGAUUUUGUAUGUACCAUAUGAAUAAGGAUCGGCUAACUCCGUGCCAGCAGCCGCGGUAAUACGGAGGAACCGAGCGUUAUCCGGAUUUAUUGGGUUUAAAGGGAGCGUAGGUGGAUUGUUAAGUCAGUUGUGAAAGUUUGCGGCUCAACCGUAAAAUUGCAGUUGAAACUGGCAGUCUUGAGUACAGUAGAGGUGGUCGGAAUUCGUGGUGUAGCGGUGAAAUGCUUAGAUAUCACGAAGAACUCCGAUUGCGAAGGCAGUUCACUGGACUGCAACUGACACUGAGGCUCGAAAGUGUGGGUAUCAAACAGGAUUAGAUACCCUAGUAGUC
rnacentral:rRNA from 1 species